UACGGGGGGGGCAAGCGUUGUUCGGAAUUACUGGGCGUAAAGGGCUCGUAGGCGGUCAACUAAGUCAGACGUGAAAUCCCCAGGCUCAACCUGGGAACUGCGUCUGAUACUGGAUGGCUUGAAUCCGGGAGAGGGAUGCAGAAUUCCAGGUGUAGCGGUGAAAUGCGUAGAUAUCUGGAGGAAUACCAGUGGCGAAGGCGGCUUCUUGGCCUGUUCUUGACGCUGAGGCGCGAAAGCUGGGGGAGCAAACGGGG
rnacentral:rRNA from 1 species